rnacentral:rRNA from 1 species
UACGGGGGGGAGCAAGCGUUGUUCGGAUUUACUGGGCGUAAAGGGCGCGUAGGCGGCCACCGCAAGUCAAUUGUGAAAUCUCCGGGCUCAACCCGGAACGGUCAACUGAUACUGCGGGGCUAGAGUGCAGAAGGGGCAACUGGAAUUCUCGGUGUAGCGGUGAAAUGCGUAGAUAUCGAGAGGAACACCUGCGGCGAAGGCGGGUUGCUGGGCUGACACUGACGCUGACAGCGCGAAAGCUAGGGGAGCGAACGGG